AUCGCUUCUCGACCCUUUGGCUAAGAUCAAGUGUAGUACUUGUUUCAGAUUUUGAGAAACAGAUUUUCAUAAAUAAUAUUUACUUGACAUAUCUUCAGUUUAUUUUCAAUAAGAUCACAUUGGACCCUUU
ensembl:snRNA U2 U2 spliceosomal RNA